GACGAACGCUGGCGGCGCGCUUAACACAUGCAAGUCGAACGGUAAGGCCUGCUUUCCCUUUUGGGUUUCGGGUACUCGAGUGUCGAACAUGUGAGUAACACGUGAGUUAUCUGCCCCCAACUUGGGUAUAAUCCUGGGAAACUAGGUCUAAUUCCCGAUAGGACUGCAGGGUGGUGCCUGUGGUUUAAAACGGUUUUCUAGUGGCUGGGGAUGAGCUCGCGGCCUAUCAGCUUGUUGGUGGGGUAAUGGACGACCAAGCCGGGGACGGGUAGCCGGCGUGGGAGGAUGGACGCUCAGAUUGGGACACGGCCAAGGCCCAGACGGGUACGGGAGGCAGGAGUGUGGAGUAUUGGAGAAUGGGCCGAAUCCUGAAGUAGCGAGGCCGCGUGGGAGACGACGGGGUUCGGGUUGUCAACUCGUAGCGACGGAGAGGAGGCCACUUGGUUGGGAGGGUGGUGACGGUAGUUGUAGAAGAAGCACCGGCUAACUACGUG
rnacentral:rRNA from 1 species